rnacentral:rRNA from 1 species
UACGAAGGGUGCAAGCGUUGUUCGGAAUCAUUGGGCGUAAAGCGCGCGCAGGCGGAUCAGCAAGUCAGAUGUGAAAUCUCGGAGCUCAACUCCGAAACUGCGUCUGAAACUGCUAGUCUAGAAUGUCGGAGGGGGCAGGGGAAUUUCACGUGUAGGGGUAAAAUCCGUAGAGAUGUGAAGGAACACCGGAGGCGAAGGCGCCUGCCUGGACGACUAUUGACGCUGAGGCGCGAAAGCGUGGGGAGCGAAACAGG